rnacentral:rRNA from 1 species
AUUGAACGCUGGCGGCAUGCUUUACACAUGCAAGUCGAACGGCAGCGCGGGCUUCGGCCUGGCGGCGAGUGGCGAACGGGUGAGUAAUGCAUCGGAACGUGCCCAGUAGUGGGGGAUAGCCCGGCGAAAGCCGGAUUAAUACCGCAUACGACCUGAGGGUGAAAGCGGGGGACCGAAAGGCCUCGCGCUAUUGGAGCGGCCGAUGUCGGAUUAGCUAGUUGGUGGGGUAAAGGCUUACCAAGGCGACGAUCCGUAGCUGGUCUGAGAGGACGACCAGCCACACUGGGACUGAGACACGGCCCAGACUCCUACGGGAGGCAGCAGUGGGGAAUUUUGGACAAUGGGGGCAACCCUGAUCCAGCCAUGCCGCGUGCGGGAAGAAGGCCUUCGGGUUGUAAACCGCUUUUGUUCGGGAAGAAAUCCUCUGGGCUAAUACCCCGGGGGGAUGACGGUACCGGAAGAAUAAGCACCAGCUAACUACGUG